rnacentral:lncRNA from 1 species
UGUACACGCAAACAGUGCUCAUGACCGCUUCCCGAAAGGUCCGAACGAUUCCUAUUGCCUGAGUUGCCCUAUCUAACUAGUCCGUGUCUAGUCCCAAUCUUCCAGCACAAUGCCAUCAUGUUCCCAAUUACGCAAUGCUGCGCAGGGUCUUGGAGCUGCACUUCCAGUUGGCGGCAAUGAUGGCGGACUGCGGGGCACCCAGCUCGCUGGAGCGGCGGCCCAUAGCCGACAGCACGCCCUUCACCGCGGCGGCCACCUUCUUGUAGCUCAGCUUGGAGGCGGUGAGCUGGUGGUGCAGCUCGGUCACGGCGGAGGCCUUGAAGUUGCGCAGCUUGAGCAUAGGCUCCAGGUACGCCCAGUGCACGGCGAUCAUGGUCUGUGGCAAGUAAGCAGUGAUUUGAAGUGUACAAGGGGUCAAGGAAAUGAAGAUGGAUGCUGAGUGAGGGGUAGGUGUGCUGGGGAUGGGGUCCAUCUGUGUGGCGGCGGUGUGCGCACUCACACAGCAGGCAGGAUGGCAGUACCACAGCUAACAGUUCGCCCGACCCAAUUUGUGAGCCCUCUUCGCUCCCAAGCCACCGAGCCUCCCGUCACUCCUUCCGCCCAUCCACCAACCUUGGCAUCCUCCACCUCGGCGGCGGGGCGCUUGCAGGCGGCGGCGGCGUCAGCGGUGUACGCGGCCACGGACACGCCCUGCAGGCCCAGCAGGGUCAGCAGUCGGACCUCGUUCGUGCGCGCGGCGUCGUAGGCUUGGAUGUUCAGGGUAGCUGCAGAUGCGCGGAGAGGCAGCAGCGCAGGAGCGGGACGGUGGUGCGUGGUCAGAUGUUGAGGGCGCGAAGGGUGCUCGGGUACCUAGGUAGGCUCCGCACUCGCCAUCAGCUUUGCUGCGACGUCCCAUCCCGCCCAUCCGUGCAUGGGACCAGCCCUUGCGUACUGUGGCACCACGCGCACCCGCCCGCGUGCGGGUAACACUUCCAAGCAUGUUACUCCUCCCAAGCUAUGCAGCUCUAACUCACACAGGCGGGCGGCGGCCAGCAUCUCAUUGACGGUGUUGAUCAUGGCGGUGUUGACAUAGCUCUUGCCGAGGAAGGUGGUGCCCAUGGCGGCGCCCAGGGAGGAGGCCCAGCCGGACAGGGUGCCGCAGUUGUUGGCGGCGCCGCCGGCCCACAGCGCCCAGGCCUCAUCCACGUUGUGGGGUGCGCCUGGGGCGGGCGGGGACAGUAAGGUGAACGCUUAUGUCAGUUGCACCACGGGGCGCAGGUGAAGUAGCAAAAUACAUAAAUCCCGCGCACUGCUGAGCACCCAUCCACGCACUGCUGAGCGCUUGACAGCGAGCACCGUGCUGCGAUGCCGCAAACAACGCACCCGAGGCGUCAGAAACCAGGUUGGUGAGGUUGCCGGUGCCGUCAGCCAGGUAGGUCUUGAUCUUGUUGUAGGCCUCAUCCACCUCGUGCAGGUGGUACUUGAGCGUGCCCACCUGGAUCAGACCGGCGGCCAGGGUGGCCUUGCCGUCG